rnacentral:lncRNA from 1 species
GGCUCUCCCGAUGGACAUGGGUGUGUCUGGAGGAUGGAGGGUCCCCGGAGGGCAUUGUCCAGCUACAUGUUUCCGACAGGAUCCAGUGAAUUUCUUAGAAUUUGAAGUCUUUUGCCUCCUUCUUUGGAUGCAUAUAUACUUUUGCUUCUACCCUCAAAGACCCAGAUCCUCAAGAGCCAGACAAGAUGAUGUGAGCAC